AUAGAACAAUUCAGCUACAACCAUUUUGAAUAUGUGAGUCCGGCUCUAUUUCCCUUUAGCAUUACCAAUAAUCCAUUGAACAAACUGUUCCCAAUUCAGGAAAUUGGGGUGAGUUUCCCUAAUCCAAGACAGUGUCCGGUGCCUUAGCUGAAUAGCAAAGGGACAGCUAUGGAAGAGGUGAUCUCUGGUCUCCGGAGCUUGCUGGCACAACACACAGAUGCUAUCCACAUUCAUACUCCACUGUAGCAGCCUAUCUUUGGUUGGCAAUCUAUUCUGAAGGACCAGCCAUUGAUUAAAAACAGCCUUUGGCCUAGCAUAGUUUUGAGCAGUUAAGUUCUUCCAAGUAACUCUACGGAGUUGACCAAUCUGAAGCAGAUAUAAUAGUCUAAUAGAGCACACUGGCCUGUGCAAACUCUGAUUUUUGAAGGUAUGAGGAAAAGUUGAGCCCAGUAAGCUUGUAUUCCAAAGACCACUGAUUGGACCAAUUGAAGUCUUCCAGCAUACGACAAUUUCCUGGCAGUCCAAGAUGUAAUCCUAGCAGUGAUUCUAUCAACCAGUGGCUGCCACUGAAUCAAAGCCAUCUUCUUUGUAGAUAAAGGUAUACCCAAAUAUCUGAAAGGUAAAUUUCCAUAUACAUAGCCUAGAUGCUCAGUUAUUUGUUGCUGGACUUCAGUAUUUACCCCUCCAAAGUAAACUGAACUUUUGGUCAGAUUGGCUUUCAUCCCAGAAGCUUCAGUGAAUUGAGAGAAGUACUUGAAUAUGGUAACUACAUAUUGUUUAUCUCCUUUAGCAAACAGCAGCAGGUCAUCAGCAAAGCUGAUAUGAGUGAUGCCCAGUUUCUUACAGCAUGGAUGGAAUAUAAAGUCUUGGUCUUUCUUCAAUUCAGCCAAAGAUCUGCCUAAGUACUCCAUUACAAUAGCAAAGAGAAAUGGAGAGAUUGGAUGACCUUGUCUGAGGCCUUUAGCUGCUUUAAAAGGUUCAGUAGUUUCCCCAUUGAUCAUCACUGUAUAGCUGACUGUUUGGACACAUUCCAUAAUCCAUUUUGUGAAUCUGACUGGAAAUCCCAUUGCCUCCAUUACCUGUUGCAAUCACCUUGUCUGAGGCCUUUAGCUGCUUUAAAAGGUUCAGUUGUUUCUCCAUUGAGCAUCACUGUAUAGCUGACUGUUUGGACACAUUCCAUAAUCCAUUUUGUGAGUCUGACUGGAAAUCCCAUUGCCUCCAUUUCCUGUUGCAAGAAAGUCCAUUCGGCAGAGUCAUAUGCCUUCUGCAGGUCGAUUUUGAUCAUGCAUCUAGGAGUUAUAUGAGAUCUGGAGUAAUUUUUGAUUAAUUCAUGGGCCAAUAUAACAUUAUCUGCAAUUUUCCUGCCUUGGGUGAAUCCUUCUUGAGCAUCACAGAUGAUGCUUGCCAUGAUUUUCUGCAUUCUAUUGGCUAAUAUCUUGGAAAUCAGUUUAUAUAACACUGAGCAGCAAGCUAUUGGUCUGAACUCUUUGACUGUUGUUGGAUUAGAAACUUUAGGUAUCAGGGUAAGGGAGGCACAGUUGACUGGUCCGUACAUCCUGUUGGUCUGGAAAAAAUUCUUGACUGCACCAGUUAUCUGUUUGUCAGUGAUGGUCCAAGU
rnacentral:lncRNA from 1 species